rnacentral:rRNA from 1 species
GUGCCAGAAGCAUCGGUAAUACGGAGGGGGCUAGCGUUGUUCGGAAUUACUGGGCGUAAAGGGCGCGUAGGCGGGCGAUCAAGUCAGGGGUGAAAGGCCUGGGCUCAACCUGGGAACUGCCUUUGAAACUGAUUGUCUAGAGUCCGGAAGAGGAUGGCGGAAUUCCCAGUGUAGAGGUGAAAUUCGUAGAUAUUGGGAAGAACACCAGUGGCGAAGGCGGCCAUCUGGUCCGGUACUGACGCUGAGGCGCGAAAGCGUGGGGAGCAAACAGGAUUAGAUACCCUGGUAGUCCACGCCGUAAACGAUGUGUGCUAGCCGUUGGGGAACCUAGUUUCUCGGUGGCGCAGCUAACGCGUUAAGCACACCGCCUGGGAGUACGGUCGCAAGAUUAAAACUUAAAUGAAUUGACGG